GUCGUUGUAGUAUAGUGGUGAGUAUCCCCCGCCUGUCACGCGAGAGACUCCGGGUUCGAUCCCCCGGCAACGGCU
rnacentral:tRNA from 1 species